rnacentral:rRNA from 1 species
AAAUGUACAACUAUCAACAACGGAUCUCUUGGCAUCCCGCUCGAUGAAGAACGCAGCGAAUUGCGAUAAGUAAUGUGAAUUGCAGAAUUCAGUGAAUCAUCGAAUCUUUGAACGCACCUUGCACCUUUUGGUAUUCCGAAAGGUACGCCCGGUUGAGUAUUAUGAACACCU